rnacentral:rRNA from 1 species
GCGUUAUCCGGAAUUAUUGGGCGUAAGAGCUCGUAGGCGGUUUGUCGCGUCUGCCGUGAAAGUCCGGGGCUCAACUCCGGAUCUGCGGUGGGUACGGGCAGACUAGAGUGAUGUAGGGGAGACUGGAAUUCCUGGUGUAGCGGUGAAAUGCGCAGAUAUCAGGAGGAACACCGAUGGCGAAGGCAGGUCUCUGGGCAUUAACUGACGCUGAGGAGCGAAAGCAUGGGGAGCGAACAGGAUUAGAUACCCUGGUAGUCCAUGCCGUAAACGUUGGGCACUAGGUGUGGGGGACAUUCCACGUUUUCCGCGCCGUAGCUAACGCAUUAAGUGCCCCGCCUGGGGAGUACGGCCGCAAGGCUAAAACUCAAAGGAAUUGACG